UGGGGAAGUAUUGCACAAUGGACGCAAGUCUGAUGCAGCAACGCCGCGUGGAGGAUGACACAGUUUCGGUGCGUAAACUCCUUUUAUAUAAGAAGAUAAUGACGGUAUUAUAUGAAUAAGCACCGGCUAACUCCGUGCCAGCAGCCGCGGUAAUACGGAGGGUGCAAGCGUUAUUCGGAAUCACUGGGCGUAAAGGGUGCGUAGGCGGUUUGGAAAGUCUGAUGUGAAAGCCUACAGCUUAACUGUAGAACUGCAUUGGAAACUUCCAGACUAGAAUACUGAAGGGGCAGAUGGAAUUAGUGGUGUAGGGGUAAAAUCCGUAGAUAUCACUAGGAAUACCGAAAGCGAAAGCGAUCUGCUGGGAAGUUAUUGACGCUGAGGCACGAAAGCGUGGGGAGCAAACG
rnacentral:rRNA from 1 species